ACCUAAUACAAGUUUCUGCAUAUUUAUUUGAACCUAACUCAAGCAGGCGGCUAGCUUAAAGCUUAAACGUGGCGGUGGGGCUCAGGCGGCUUUUGGCAGAAAGAUUUAUCAUCACAGAAUGGUGUCAGGAGUGAGAUGACCCUAUGCCCCAAAGUUUCCAGAGAAAGAGGGAAACCUGCCGCCCGCAACAGCCUGCCCUGUUGGGCUGCUGAGAGGCAUUGGAGCAGCUUCCAUAUGCUCGCCCAUCCCGCCGCUCUUGGGCAUUGUACUCGGCACUUCUGAGAUGAUGAAGACAGAUCCAGAAAAAGAAAAACCUCUAAAGGUUUACACUACAUUUAAAAAUAUAUAUAGGCUUGUGAGAGAAAAAGUAACAGGAGGAAAUAGAGUAACCGGUUAUGGUGGCCAACGCUGGUAGGAUUUGCUAAAGGAAACACAGGCAGGUGGAUUUUUACAGAGAAACCCUGUCUCAGAAAAGAAGAAACAAAAGGAGUAAAAGUAGAAUAGUAAAAAAGCCACCUAGAGAUACAAAUACACAGAGAAUCUGGACAUUAAUGCCAUACUGUGGUCUUUAAAUUGUUUGAUUGCCGAGGAAAGAAUUAUUGCUGCUAAAAUAUAUUUGAUUAUAAAUGCUGCUAAAUUAAUCCAACAUCUACAUUUUAAAAAUGCUUUGACUUCAAAAUUUAAGUUUAAGGACAACCUACUAAGAAAUAAAGAUUUUACUUGUAUUUCCACAAAAAAUCAAAAGCUGUUGAUUCUUUCCAGUUUAAUAUGGUUUGAUCCAGCAAAUCCCCCUGAAGCUGAGAUGAUACAGCCUUACAGACUACAAAAACAAGGACUUGCCUUCAUCCAGUAAUUGAUGAAAGCAGAAGCAGAGAUUCACAGCUAAGCACUAGGCUGAACACCUGGAGUCCAGUUGUAAAGAGGGAGGAGUGAUAAGCAAAGGGGUCAAGACCAUGCCUCAGAAACAGCUGAUCUGAGAAAGUGGAAGCUCACAGACCCAGACUGACAACUUGAGAACCGGCAUAAGACUGAAAUAUGCCCCCUGAAUGUAGAUGACAGUUGGGGAACUUGGAAGUUUUGGGGUGCAACCAUUGUGCAUGAACGUGCUUUUUUGAUGCAAUUCCCUAUAGAGGGAUAUGUUGCUCAGCCUCGAUACAGGGGGCGAGGGCCUUAAUCCUGCCCCAAUGAUGUGACAGAAUUUGAUGACUCCCCAUGGGAGGCCUUGCCCCCUUAGAGAAGUAGACGAGGGGUGGAGUGGGGAGAUGGGUGGUGGUGGGUGAUGAGAAGGGGAAGUAACUGGGAUUAGUAUAUAAAAUAAGAUUGUUUUAAAAAUAUAAAUGAAUAAAUAAAUAAAUUGGAAAGAAAAUCCCUCACAGACAUAUGCAGUCUCAUAGUUUUAGUUCCUUUCAAAAAUAGUCAAGUUGACAACCAAGGCUUCCCAUCACAGAGACUGAAGCCACAGCUCACUGAUUAGGUUUGACUGGCUGGCCACCAAGCCCGGAUGGUACUGUCUUCCCCUCUCAAAAACUAGGACGUAUAGACUCAGAUCACUGUGCCUGGUGUUUACAUGUCUUUUAGGAAUCAGAAUUCAGAUCCUCAUGGUUUACCAAGCCAUCCCUAGCUCCUAUUCAUAAGUCCUCACCAGGAGUCUGUAAGAUAUUGUUGACAUGAGCCCUCAAUUGAGUGAUUCAAUUAAGCUUCCAAACGUCCUUCAAUCUGUAUUUACUUCUAAAUAAAGUUGUUGUGCAAAAGAAAAGAUGAAUUGGUUAAUAAUGAUUUCAGAUGGUGAAAUUUUGUAAAAAUAUGGAUAAUAUUUGGCACGUAUGCUAAAAAUAUUCAUUAUAUCUGAAUUGAAAUUUAACUGUCUAUAUUUUAUUUACUCACUCUGGUAGCCCUACUUCAGAUUCAUAUAUACAGGAACUUUCUGGAAUUACUGCUGCACAAUAAGACUGUUCUGUGUCAACCACACUAAAAGUAAUUUCUUAAUUAUGCCCGCACAACAUUUUGGCUCUAAUAAUUCAUGCACUGCCUGACAGUCUCCAUUAUGUUAAUGCUGCCUAAUUUUCUCCCUGGUCAUAUGAGCAUUUGUAUGAAUUCUAAAUAAGGUUCAGUAGGUUUUUGGUAAAUAUAAUGACAAUAUGAAGUAUAAUAACAAUAUGAAGCCUUGAAUGCACUGCCCUUCUUGGAUUUCACACCAUUUGACGGGUUCCCUGCCAAAAUACCAUGUGGACUGCCCAACCAUUUCUUAAGCCACACAACUCAGGCUGUGCCCUUGGCCUUUAGUGUGUUCCCUUUGCUUGUUUUGAGUCAUCUUAUGUCUCUAAGGGUCAUUGAAUCUGCUUUGCUAAACAAUUCACUUGCUUGUGAAGCAAGGGCACUCAUUUGAACAAAUUAUCAUUAUUUUCCCGAAGCACUUUCAUCUGGCUCUUAAGUUACAUGUAUGAAAAAACCAUGAAUCAAAGAUAACUCAAUAAAUACUCUGAUAUUUUCCAAAAUACUACAGAGUUCCUGUCUAUAGAUUGUUUUUGCCAAGAAAUGCAUAAGAAUAUAACCACUUUUUCUAAUUCUCUAAGUCUGUUCAAGUUGUAGCUGUAAAAAUGCGAUAUGUUUAGGUGUGAUUUGAGAAUACUGGGAAGAUAUCCAAGUCUAACCUUCAAAAAAUAGUACUAGCUAUAAUAUAUUACUCAAAAAUUGAAAUGCAAAACUAAAUACCUCAGAGGACUAAAUCCUUCCAGAGACAAUUUACUUCUUGAAAGUAGAAAACUGGUAUUAUUCACACCAUGGAGAUUUCCUUUAUUUAAUGUGAUUCUUGCUUCUACUUUGAACAAGAUAUAUCUCUAGCCCCUGCUCUACCAGAAUCUCAGGUAAGCCCUUUCCCCAACUCCACCAAUACUUCCUCAGAGCAAGCUCAGCCUUCCCCAACUACCUGACUUCUACUUAUCACCAUAUCUUGGCCUACAACUUCUAUGGAAGCCCCAUGUACUACCAGAGGGCACACCAACACUCAAUACCCUAGAUAAGUCCAUCCUACCUCCAACAGGCCCCUCUCAUCAACACCACAUCCCUGCCCUCACACAGGUAGAAGCCCUCUGCUUUUCUAGAGGCCGCUCCAGCACCCAGGUUUCCAGAGGCCAUGCAGGCCACCAGAACCCAAGCAGUGGCACCCUGCUGGGCCAAAGGACACAGCAUCUAUCAGUAUGACAAGGCCACUUGGGCAAGAAGACCAAAGAAGUAACAGAAACCAAGGAAAAAAACACCCAUUCAACAAAUACAAUCUCAGAAAUCCACACCUAGACCUGUAUUUACCCCGAAGCCAGAUGCCUAGACACUAGUUUAAGAACACAAUCAACAAUAGUCAGGGCAAUAUGUCACCACCAGAGCCCAGCCAUCCUACUACAAAAAAAAAAUACCCCAAGACAGCUUAAGCACAAGAAAAUGACCUAAAAAACAACUCUAUGAAGAUGACACAGGUCUUUAAAGAGGAAAUGAAUAAAUCCUUUAAGGAAUCCAGGAAAAGACAAAAAUAUUUGCAAGAAAUGAAUAAAUCCCUUAAAGAAUGCCAAGAAAAAACAAAAUGCCAAGAAUAAAACUGUUUGAGACCUGAAGAUGGGAAUAGAAACAAAACAGAAACCAAAAACUGAGGGAAUCUUGGAGAUAGAAAUUUUAAAUAAGCAAACUGGAACAACAGAUGUGAGCACCACUAAUAGAAUACAAGAGAUGGAUGAGACUCUCAGACAUUGAAGAUACGAUAAAAGAAAUUGAUACAUUGAUCAAGUAAAAUAUUAAAUCUAAAAAAAAAAUACUAACACAAAGCAUCUAGGACACUGGCAGAACCAUGCAUGGGAACUGUGAAUAAAUGUUUGUUGGAUGGAUCUCUUUACUGCAAGGCCCUUUGGAGUAUCCUAUCCACCUGGAAAGACCUGUGGAGGUAAUGCUGCAGACUUCUCUGCUGAUCUUGUGGAACUCAUGGGCUUCUGGCCUCUCUAACUUACGUUUCUUAUAAUUCUUACUUUUGUUUUGUCAGUUGUGAUUGUGAUUGAGUUAUCUAGGAACAAAUACUGGUAAUUUUAAUAAGAGAUUCCACAAAAUUUACGCCUCUCUUCAGUCUAUCGCAGACACCUGUUUCUCCAGUUGCCCCUGGCUACCUUUGCAUUUAUCCUGAGUAACCAAGAAGAACUUGCUUACUAAGAGGCAGGAAGAUAGGCUGGACUAGAAGACAAAGAGUAUGCUGAGGAGAGAUGCAGAGAUGCCAUGUAGACCACAAACUAGGAACAGGUCCAGGCAUUCUCCGGUAAGCCAAGACCACAUGUAAAUUAGAUUUGUAGAAAUGGGUUAAUAAUUAAGACAGAGCUAGCCAAUAAGGGGCCCUUGCCACAGGCCAACCAUUUUGUGAUUAAUACAAGUUUUUGUGUGUUCAUUUGGGGCUGAGAAGUGAGGUAGGACCUGGCAGGACAAGAAAACUCGAGCAACAGUUAUGGUUAUUUUUUUACUUCUUUGCUCUUUUGGGGGCCCCAUAACCCCCUUAAUAAAUAAGUAUUUAUUUAUUACUUAUAAAUACCCAGGCUUAGCUUAGCUUGUUUCUAUCGAGCUUUUCAUAAGUUAAAUUAUUCUUAUGGAAGGAUAGCUUGCUCAGGCUUGAUACAGGGGGGAAGGGCUUGGUCAUGCCUCAACUUGCUAUGCCAGAUUUUGUUGACACCCCAAGAGGCCUUACCCCCUCUAAGGAGCUAAUGGGAGGUGAGAUGCAAGUUGUGGAGGAGCAGGAGAAGGGAAAGGAGAAGGAACUGUGGUUAGUAAGUAAAAUGAAAAGUAAUUAAAUAGAAAUGCCAAAAAAGUGUCCUCUCAGCCUUCCAAUUUCUUCUAUCCUUUCUCCUGCCUUGCUAUUGACCGGUCAGUACUUUAUUAGACAAUAAGGUGUUUUGUACAGGUGAAGUAAUACAGUUUUACAGUCUUAAACAAAUGCAACAUAAAAUAAUGCAACACAUCUUUGCAUCAUUAAAGCAAAUGUUCCACAGCAUGAACAAAUGUAACACAUCUUGAAAUAAUAUUUCUCAACACUAAGUAUAAUAUUUGCUUUACCACACAAAAAAUAACUGUAUGGGGUAAAGAACAAUUAUGUCAAGGGAGCAUGGAACAGGAAAAGGAACUAAAAUUUGUAAAUGUUAAUGAUUCUUGAAAAAUUAUUGAAGAAAAAUGUAUUGAAACAGCCUAUGCUUGAAAGCAUUGUAAUGUAUAUAAAUAAAAAUAGCUUGAUCUGUGUG
ensembl:lncRNA